AAGUCGUAACAAGGUUUCCGUAGGUGAACCUGCGGAAGGAUCAUUCACAAUACGACGGCCUUGACUUUGCAAAAGGUCUUGGCUGUUAUCCAAACUGCUACACAACCGAGCGACUAAGACCCCCAUUUCAGGACCUCUCUCUUCGCUCCCUUGCGCAAGCGGGGUUGAGCUUAGAUUGCAGGGAUAAUGUUGUGUAUUGUCCACGUGCUGCUGUGCUCUCGGGCUGUGCGGCUGUGGAUGGUCUCAACGCUAACACAACUGUGUUUACCUUUUUUACCCCCGUCGCCUCUGGGUACUGCCUAGCUCUACCCUUGGGUUGUCAUCUUUGUGCUAAGUCUAUCUGCGUCUUGCUGUAAUUGCCGGCAGCGUCAGGUAAUGGACAUUUACGAAACACUUUGUAAAAAGAAUACAACUCUUUGCAAUGGAUAUCUUGGUUCUC
rnacentral:misc_RNA from 1 species